UGAAUGUAUAGGGGUGUGGGAGGUAACGCGGGGAAGUGAAACAUCUUAGUACCCGUAGGAAGAGAAAACAAUUGUGAUUCCGUGAGUAGUGGCGAGCGAAAGCGGAGGAGGCUAAACCGUGUGUGUGUUCAAGCCGGCAGGUGUUGCAUGUGCGGGGUUGUGGGGGCCUGUGUGAUCCUGCUGCCGUGGGAUCGGCUUGCAUGUGGUGUGAAGUUGAAUCGUCUGGGAAGGCGGACCGUAGUGGGUGAGAGUCCCGUAGACGUGAGUGUCAU
rnacentral:rRNA from 1 species